rnacentral:rRNA from 1 species
GACGAGGGCGCGAGCGUUGUCCGGAUUUAUUGGGCGUAAAAGCUCGUAGGCGGCUUGUCGCGUCGACUGUGAAAACCCGCGGCUCAACCGUGUGGUCUGCAGUCGAUACGGGCAGGCUAGAGUUCGGUAGGGGAGACUGGAAUUCUUGGUGUAGCGGUGAAAUGCGCAGAUAUCAGGAGGAACACCGGGUGGCGAAGGCGGGUCUCUGGGCCGAUACUGACGCUGAGGAGCGAAAAGCGUGGGGGAGCGAA